GUUCCUGUGGUGUAGUGGUUAUCACAUCCGCCUAACACGCGGAAGGUCCCAGGUUCGAGCCCUGGCAGGAACA